rnacentral:rRNA from 1 species
UACGUAGGGUGCGAGCGUUGUCCGGAAUUACUGGGCGUAAAGAGCUCGUAGGUGGUUUGUCGCGUUGUCCGUGAAAACUCACAGCUCAACUGUGGGCGUGCGGGCGAUACGGGCAGACUAGAGUGCGGUAGGGGAGACUGGAAUUCCUGGUGUAGCGGUGAAAUGCGCAGAUAUCAGGAGGAACACCGGUGGCGAAGGCGGGUCUCUGGGCCGUAACUGACGCUGAGGAGCGAAAGCGUGGGGAGCGAACAGG